rnacentral:pre_miRNA from 1 species
AUGUAGGGCAAUCUGUCUUUAAGUAGGGGUAAAUUACUCUAAAAGAAAUGAAUCCUAGAUAGUUUUCCCUUCAAGUCAAGCAUCUUGU